CAAAAAUAUAAUAUUUAAUAUUUGGCUUUAACAGUAUUUCUAAUAUGUAAUUUUUAUUAAUGCUAGUAACAAUUAACAAAUAAGCCUUCACCAGUAAAAAUAUGGAAAGUCUAUGACAUCUUAUCCCUCUCUCUCUCUUCCUUAGAUUUCUGAGUUUCAAUCUGUGUCUAUAUAUUUCGACUUGACAUUACUAAAGAUUUCAAUUGCUUUUAUAUUUAUAAAAUACCUAAAUAAUAUAGUUUUUGCAUUUUUUUUUUAUAUUUUUUUGGUUUUAAUUUUCUAGGUUGUCCAGAAUCCUAUAAUCUUUGUUAUAUAUGAAAAUUUUCAAUGUGUUUUUCAGUUUUCUUUCGAAAAUAUAUUCAAAUAUACGUUAAUGAAAUAUUCUUGAAUUUCUGAUCAAAAGGUUUAGAUUAAUUGCUUCCUUAGUCAGACCAUGAGUUGACUUUCUUGAUUCAAUCCACUUCUCACAAUUCAAUAUCAAAAAUCGAAACUCAAUUGUUUGGGAUGCUGAAUUGUCGUUUUUCAUAAAUGGGUUAUUGCUUUCGUGUUCAAUAUCGAUAAAAGAUCCUACCUUNNN
rnacentral:lncRNA from 1 species